UAUCUCCAUCUUCUCCGACGCCAAUCCACCUCUCUCUCUCUUCUGCGGCUCUCUCUUCUCCGGAGCCGUUCCCUCCAACUCGAUGCAUCCAUCCAUCCACCCACCCACCCACCUAUCAGUCUGCCAUGUCCGCGCGAGCCGCGAGGGGUGCGCCCAGGGAUGCUGCGCCACAAGGAGAACAACCUGGCGGACGCGCAGGCCGGCAAGUGCCAGCGCACCGCCACCGGAGCCGGGAGGCAGCCGCACAGCCGCCGCGGCGCUGCCCCUGCCGCCGCCUGAGGAGGAGCACGUGGUCUUCGCGGGCAGGGAGGACGUCGAGGCCCUUCUCAACCAGAAGAUGAAGGGCAAGAACAAGAUGGACUACAAGGGAAAGAGCGAGCAGAUGAUGGAAUACAUCAAGAAGCUGUGGGCCUGCAUAAAAUGGUUGCUUGAGAGACAAGAUGCAAACCUCAUUGAAAUUGGGAACACUAGUGCCUGGCUUGAGGCUGAAGGGAAAGAACACUCCGAGACAGUGGCUGAGUUGAAGAAUUCUAUUGAUGAAGCGAGAUCAAUAAAUGAGGAGCUUCAGAAACAGUAGACAUCUCUACAAGAGACUCUGAAGAAGGUCAAGGCCGAGAAAAUGGAUGCUCUAAGGGCUCUAGAAGAGGAAAAGGAUGCAAGGACGUCCAUUGAAUCAUUGAAGAAUGAGCUUUUGGAAGAUCUCAAAAGAAACAAGUUGGAGGGAAAAUGCCUUAACGACCAGGUCAUUUACCUUGAAAACAUGGAUUUUGGUCAUUUGAACCGCAGGCAUCUCUCAGUAAUUCGUGCUGCUUGCUUUUACACUUAAUAUUUAGUUCAACUUUCAGAGGCUGACAAGUGGCUCAUCCUUCUUCUUGGUCAAAUCUAUAUGGAUGUUCCAAGGUAGAAUGUGAUAUCUCUUGUUCAAAAAAUUUAACAACACCUAUCCCGAUCGAUGCAAUAUCUGUUGUUCUUUCUUAUGCUCAAACUGAUUUUGGAUUAUAUAUGUGUAACUCCGCCAUGCGUCCCCUGUGUGCUACAGCAGGGGUAGGAGAAUGAAAGAGGCCUCUGCCACUAGCCGUAACCAGGUUUGUAUUGGAAAUAUUUAGUUCAUCUCAUAAUCAUUGUGCACUUAUUUUAUUUCACAUUAAGAAUAACAUUUCCAAUAAAUACCUAGGAGUGGUUCUGUGCCAGUAAACUUGUUUUGAA